rnacentral:snoRNA from 1 species
GCAGUCGCUUUAUUUGAAGGUUUUGAGGAUUUUUGAACAAAUGGCGAGUUAUAAAAAACGAGGAAAAAACCGGGAAGGAAACGAACGAAGAAAAUAUGGAAAAUUUUUCCUUCGCUUAUGUUUCCUUCGCUCGUUUUUUCUCGCCCUUUUUUUUCUUCGCCCAUUUUUUCUAAUCCAACAAUAAAGCGACUGCU